UAUCACAGCCAUGCUACAGAGUU
rnacentral:miRNA from 1 species